rnacentral:ncRNA from 2 species
GUAACAAAAGAAGUUACAGGUACCCGUAAGGGUUUGAUAGGGAAGCCGGUGCAAGUCCGGCGCGGUCCCGCCGCUGUAACCGGGGACGAAACCUGCCAUUUAACCACUGUCCUUUAUGAGAAGGAUGGGAAGGCGCAGGAAAGAGGACGAUCCGGGAGUCAGAAGACCUGCCUGUAACGGCCCUGACCU